GAUUCUCUCAUUGAAAACCACAUAGUAAGGAGUUUCCAGCUGACUUUCAUACUGCCCAAGCUACCUAACCAUUGCAUCCCUAACACAACAUCCGUGCUGCCCAGCUUUAAGGGAAGGAAGUCCUCUACUAUUAUCAGCCCCUGUGUCUCCACUACGACUCCCUUGCAAAUCCCCUUUCCUUUUAUAGAUUCACAAAACCCCAUGAUAACUCUAUAAUUUAUAGUUGUCAUAGUUGGCAGAUCCAACUUCUUGACUAGUUCCAAUGAAAUAAAAUUGUGGGUUGCCCACAAUGAAUUAGUGUGCCAAUGUACCUUUAAUCUUCAUAGUUCUAGUGUCCUCAAACCUACUACUGAAUUUAAUGAUAGCUCCAGUUUUUUCACCACCUCAAUUGGCCGUUCCUUUGUCGACAAAUCACGCUCUUCCUCGUCAGUAUGUUCAUCUUCC
rnacentral:lncRNA from 1 species